rnacentral:rRNA from 1 species
GAGUUUGAUCAUGGCUCAGAUUGAACGCUGGCGGCAGGCCUAACACAUGCAAGUCGAACGGUAACAGGAAGAAGCUUGCUUCUUUGCUGACGAGUGGCGGACGGGUGAGUAAUGUCUGGGAAACUGCCUGAUGGAGGGGGAUAACUACUGGAAACGGUAGCUAAUACCGCAUAACGUCGCAAGACCAAAGAGGGGGACCUUCGGGCCUCUUGCCAUCGGAUGUGCCCAGAUGGGAUUAGCUAGUAGGUGGGGUAACGGCUCACCUAGGCGACGAUCCCUAGCUGGUCUGAGAGGAUGACCAGCCACACUGGAACUGAGACACGGUCCAGACUCCUACGGGAGGCAGCAGUGGGGAAUAUUGCACAAUGGGCGCAAGCCUGAUGCAGCCAUGCCGCGUGUAUGAAGAAGGCCUCGG